UUCGGUGGCGAUAGCGAGGGGGAUACACCUCUUCCCAUUCCGAACAGAGAAGUUAAGCCCCUCAGCGCCGAUGGUACUUGGGCCUCGCGGCCCUGGGAGAGUAGGUCGCCGCCGAUC
rnacentral:rRNA from 1 species